UAUUUACUUACCUCACAGAAGGUAUCUGUCUGUUAAUCACAUGGUCAUGCUUCUAUAUCAACAUGUAAAUAAUUGUAAUCUUAAUUCACUUUUGAUUUCUUGUUAAUUGACUGGAACCACAAUGACAAUUUAAAAAAAGAAUAUCACUAAGUCGGGUUUGUAUGGGCACCAGUUACCUGUACCGCUGUGCAUGCUCUUUACAUGUUGUUUGUUGUUUACAACCUCUCUUUAUGAUGACAGUCUGUAAAUAAUCGAGUCUGGAACAGACAAUCCAGUGACUGACAUCAUGAGCAUCAAUACACGCAAUUUAGUCAAUUAUGCAGCCAGUUUGAGAAGAAUGGAUUGCUAUAGACCAUUUCUAACUCUGAUCUUCAUGGGUGCUUUACACAUGGCUUGAGGCAUGUUGCUUCUUCAUCAGGUGCAGGGAGGUGAAUGAUUCACAUGCUCUUUAUCAGGUGCAGGGAGGUGAAUGAUUCACUUGCCUCAUCAGGUGCAGGGAGGUGAUUGAUUCACAUGCUCUUUAUCAGGUGCAGGGAGGUGAAUGAUUCACAUGCCUCAUCAGGUGCAGGAUGGUGAAUGAUUCACUUGCCUCAUCAGGUGCAGGGAGGUGAAUGAUUCACAUGCCAUUUAUCAGGUGCAAGGAGGUGAAUGAUUCACAUGCCUCAUCAGGUGCAGGGAGGUGAAUGAUUCACUUGCCUCAUCAGGUGCAGAGAGGUGAAUGAUUCACAUGCUCUUUAUCAGGUGCAGGGAGGUGAAUGAUUCACAUGCCUCAUCAGGUGCAGGGAGGUGAAUGAUUCACUUGCCUCAUCAGGUGCAGGGAGGUGCCUGAUUCACAUGCUCUUUAUCAGGUGCAGGAUGGUGAAUGAUUCACAUGCCUCAUCAGGUGCAGGGAGGUGACUGAUUCACAUGCUCUUUAUCAGGUGCAGGAUGGUGAAUGAUUCACAUGCCUCAUCAGGUGCAGGGAGGUGAAUGAUUCACAUGUCUCAUCAGGUGCAGGGAGGUGAAUGAUUCACAUGCCUCAUCAGGUGCAGGGAGGUGAAUGAUUCACAUGCCUCAUCAGGUGCAGGGAGGUGAAUGAUUCACAUGCCUCAUCAGGUGCAGGAUGGUGAAUGAUUCACAUGCCUCAUCAGGUGCAGGGAGGUGAAUGAUUCACAUGCCCUUUAUCAGAUGCAGGAUGGUGAAUGAUUCACAUGCCUCAUCAGGUGCAGGGAGGUGAAUGAUUCACAUGCCCUUUAUCAGAUACAGGAUGGUGAAUGAUUCACAUGCCUCAUCAGGUGCAGGGAGGUGAAUGAUUCACUUGCCUCAUCAGGUGCAAGGAGCUGAAUGAUUCACAUGCCAUUUAUCAGGUGGAGGAUGGUGAAUGAUUCACAUGCCUCAUCAGGUGCAGGAUGGUGAAUGAUUCACUUGCCUCAUCAGGUGCAGGAUGGUGAAUGAUUCACAUGCCCUUUAUCAGGUGCAGGAUGGUGAAUGAUUCACAUGCCUCAUCAGGUGCAAGGAGGUUAAUGAUUCACAUGCUCUUUAUCAGGUGCAGGGAGGUGAAUGAUUCACAUGCCUCAUCAGGUGCAGGAUGGUGAAUGAUUCACAUGCCUCAUCAGGUGCAGGAUGGUGAAUGAUUCACUUGCCUCAUCAGGUGCAAGGAGGUAAAUGAUUCACAUGCUCUUUAUCAGGUGCAGGGAGGUGAAUGAUUCACAUGCCUCAUCAGGUGCAGGGAGGUGAAUGAUUCACAUGCCUCAUCAGGUGCAAGGAGGUGAAUGAUUCACAUGGUCUUUAUCAGGUGCAGGGAGGUGAAUGAUUCACAUGCCUCAUCAGGUGCAGGUUGGUGAAUGAUUCACUUGCCUCAUCAGGUGCAGGAUGGUGAAUGAUUCACAUGCCCUUUAUCAGGUGCAGGAUGGUGAAUGAUUCACAUGCCUCAUCAGGUGCAGGGAGGUGAAUGAUUCACAUGCUCUUUAUCAGGUGCAGGGAGGUGAAUGAUUCACAUGCCUCAUCAGGUGCAGGAUGGUGAAUGAUUCACUUGCCUCAUCAGGUGCAGGAUGGUGAAUGAUUCACAUGCCUCAUCAGGUGCAAGGAGGUGAAUGAUUCACAUGCUCUUUAUCAGGUGCAGGGAGGUGAAUGAUUCACAUGCCUCAUCAGGUGCAGGAUGGUGAAUGAUUCACAUGCCUCAUCAGGUGCAGGGAGGUGAAUGAUUCACAUGCCUCAUCAGGUGCAGGGAGGUGAAUGAUUCACAUGCCUCAUCAGGUGCAGGAUGGUGAAUGAUUCACAUGCCUCAUCAGGCGCAGGGAGGUGAAUGAUUCACAUGCCCUUUAUCAGGUGCAGGAUGGUGAAUGAUUCACAUGCCUCAUCAGGUGCAAGGAGGUGAAAGAUUCACAUGCCCUUUAUCAGAUACAGGAUGGUGAAUGAUUCACAUGCCUCAUCAGGUGCAGGGAGGUGAAUGAUUCACUUGCCUCAUCAGGUGCAAGGAGCUGAAUGAUUCACAUGCCAUUUAUCAGGUGGAGGAUGGUGAAUGAUUCACAUGCCUCAUCAGGUGCAGGAUGGUGAAUGAUUCACUUGCCUCAUCAGGUGCAAGGAGGUGAAUGAUUCACAUGCUCUUUAUCAGGUGCAGGGAGGUGAAUUAUUCACAUGCCUCAUCAGGUGCAGGGAGGUGAAUGAUUCACUUGCCUCAUCAGGUGCAGGAUGGUGAAUGAUUCACAUGCCCUUUAUCAGGUGCAGGAUGGUGAAUGAUUCAAAUGCCUCAUCAGGUGCAAGGAGGUUAAUGAUUCACAUGCUCUUUAUCAGGUGCAGGGAGGUGAAUGAUUCACAUGCCUCAUCAGGUGCAGGGAGGUG